rnacentral:tRNA from 1 species
UCCCAUAGCUCAGUUGGUGAAGCAUCUGCCUGCAAUGCAGGAGACUCCAGUUUGAUUUCUGGGUUGGGAA